rnacentral:lncRNA from 10 species
UCUGCUUUUUCUUUUUGCCAUACUUAAAUGAGGACUGUUUUUAAAGUUGAAAGAGAACAAAGAGUUAAGAGAAGCUGCUAGAAACAAUGUUAUAUAGCAGUUAAAUAUAAUUGUUAGCCUAUCAUUUUCUGCAUCCAGCAAAUUCAGGAAUCUUGAUCUCUCUGGUUUUCAUUAUACUUAGUUAAAAUUAAGAUACAAUUCAGGCAAAUGUGUCUAAUGAGCAUAAUUAAAUUGUUUUACAUUAAAAGGUAAGAUUAGAUCCUAUUGAUUCUCAUUCUAAUUUAAAUGUGGGGAGUUAGUUUGGUCUAUUUAAGCCUAUUAAAAUUGUACAUAACUCCUGGAAUAUCAAGCACUACUAAUAAUCUACUCUCAUCAUAAACUUUCUUCUAGAUCUAGUUAGUAAAGGGGUUUUGACUUCUUUUAUAAUACAAAUAAAGAGGUAAUUUUCCAAACCUUGCUUGAAAAAUUAAGCAAGUUUUGUCUCAACACUCAACAUUUAUUGAACAUCUGCUGUGCGAUAGGUUUACAUCUUCCAGAUGCUGGCAAAAAUACACAAAGUGUGCUUUCGUGAAGUUUUCAAUCAAGGAGAUAAAAUAUAUUUUAAAAAAACUAUAAACUUGCAAGGUAGGAGAAGAGCUUAAGCUCAGGAGUUUGAGACAAGUCUGGGUAACAUAGUGAGACCUCAUGUCUACUAAAAAUUAAAAAAUAUAUAUAUUAGCCGAGCGUGGUGGUGUGCACCUGUAGUCCCAGCUGUUCAGGAGACUGUGGCGAGGGGAUCAAUUGAGCCUGGGAGAUCAAGGCUGCAGUGAGCUGUGAUCACACCACUGCACUCCAGCCUGGGCAACAGAGCAAGACUCUGUCUCAAAAAUAAAUAAAUGGAUAGAUAGAUAGAAUAAAAAAUAAGAAAAAAUUAACUGGGUGUCAGCUAAAGAGCAGUUAUAUAUAUAUACACACACACACACACACACACACAUAUGUAUAUGUGUAUACAUAUAUAUGUAAUCUGCAAAUUAGGUAGCUAAUAUUGCAUAACUCUGUUCUCCUAGCACCUUUUCAAGUUACCCUUAGCCUUUGUCAGGACCUCGCUAGACUAGAUUCUUUACCUAGAAGGAUAGCCCAAACCUUCCUUCCUUCCUUGUCUUUGUUGGGUUCCCAGAGUUUUCCAACAGCGAAACAUUAGACAAGGAAGUACUAAAAAAGGUCUCAGUGAAUCUCCUGGGUUCUUGACAAAAUUCUCCUUUAUGUAGAAGAAACCCGCUUGUCCCCUUGUAAUCAGGAUCAAUCACUCUGGACAGAAAAACAACCCCCAAUUCUGCCUGUGAGUGUAGCAGUACGUGAAGCCCCACAUAGGGUGUACUCUUAGGCCAACUGAUCAGAACCAUUACUGUGCAUAUAUAUAGUAAACUUGCUUAGCUCUAAAUACACACAUAGUGAAAGAACAAGUUGAACCGGUAAGUUCUACCAAGAACCACAUGAAACUACCAGCAGACACUAUUGUAAGCGCCAAGGGGACCUUUCUCCUUGGCCCUCUGAGGUUUGGCUGAAAAUCACUAACAUGAGGAACAUUAAUAGAAAAAACAUACAAAUUUACUUAACGUGUAUACACAGGAAGAAUCACAGCGUGAUUACCCACCCCUCAGAGGGCUUCAGAAGCUUGUGGAUACAAUCCCAGCGACACAGGUUAUGAUAGGGAGAAGAGGAAUUCUGUUGAGGGAUUACAAAGGAGAAUGAAUGUAUCAGGAACACAUUAAUUUGUACAACAUCUUGUGAAAGGGUCUGCUCAGGUGUGAUUACUACAUUCUUGGUCUUACAGGGAGGCAACAAAAACAAUUAUGUUCCUUGUGAUGUGUCUAAACUUUAUCCUUUGCUUUGGCAGAGAUGGCGUGGGGAUUUAGGGGAGUGGGACCUUGAGGCUUCUUCAGUUCAGAUGUCAAAACGCCAUUAUUUGGGGGUAUGUUUCUGCGCCUCCAACACUGUUUAACAGGGAGGCUUGUUUCAUCCAGUAAGGGAGUCAAGAAAUGGUUCCCCGAAGAAAACGAUUCUUGAAAUCUGACAAUAAAUGAGGUGUCAAACAGGCAAAAAGUGUGUCGGAAUGAGCACGGAUGAGGGUAGGGUGGAAAAAUCUUGGUACUUAGUCUGUGGGAAGACCUGAGGAAAAAAAGCCACUACAGUUUAUAGUUCAGUGUAUGGUGGGCGAACGAGAUGAAGCCGAAAACUUGGACAAUCAGGGAUUGUCCAAGAGCAAGGGAAAGCCACCAAAGAUUUUUCAGCAGAUUGCCGUGAUCAUAUUUGUAUUUGAAGACUACAACGAUGCUGUAUGAAAAAUGGAUGCACAAAGCCGAAUUGGGAAGCUAUUGUUCCUGGAAAGUAUAACCCUGAAGGCGGAGAGUUGUAGAGAACAGAACUGAUGUUUAAAAAGAAAAAUCCACAAAACGUGGUGGUGGAGCACGUACCUGAAGUUAUGCCUAUUGCGCUUCUGAUUUCAAAUAAGUAAUUGUUUUAAAUUGCCUACUAACAUAAAAA